rnacentral:rRNA from 256 species
UUGACCUCGGAUCAGGUAGGGAUACCCGCUGAACUUAAGCAUAUCAAUAA